GCCUUGCUAGCUCAAUUGGCUAGAGCGUGAGACUUUUAGGAGACAUCGUUCUUCUGAGACAUCUCAAGGUUGCGGGUUCGACCCCCGCGUGAGGCU